GAAAUGCGAUAAGUAAUGUGAAUUGCAGAAUUCAGUGAAUCAUCGAAUCUUUGAACGCACAUUGCGCCCGCCAGUAUUCUGGCGGGCAUGCCUGUCCGAGCGUCAUUUCAACCAUCAAGCCCCCGGGCUUGUGUUGGGGACCUGCGGCUGCCCGCAGGCCCUGAAAACCAGUGGCGGGCUCGCUGUCACACCGAGCGUAGUAGCAAUCACCUCGCUCAGGGGGUGCUGCGGGUUCCGGCCGUUAAACAGCCUUACAAAACCCAAGGUUGACCUCGGAUCAGGUAGGAAGACCCGCUGAACUUAAGC
rnacentral:misc_RNA from 1 species